UUGAACAGUACCCAUUCCCUUGAUGUCUACAAUAUCACCUUUCUUAUAGACUCGCAUAUACGUGGCCAAAGGAACAACUCCAUGUUUUCUAAAAGGCCUAGAGAACAUAUAUCGGGUGCCUCUCCUCACUCCCUUUGUGUUCGUCAUUUUGGCGAAUUACUGGAAGAUGGCGGUUCCGGCCGAAAGAAGUUGGCUCUGUGCUGUUAGCUGCCUCCACACAUGUGCCCUUCAUUUGUUAGGACUCGAGCAUCACAUCUGAAAUGGGGACUAGCAAGGUAGAUCUGCAAGACCCAUCCCUUGGUUGAAGUAGCAAGCCCUGGAGUGGCCCGGCAGGUGCUGAUAAGCUGACCUGUGAGAGACUGAAUAUACAAAGACAGUGGCAAGACUACAUACAAAAAGCAAACUCUGCGCCAUAAUCUGCAGCAACCAGCCCCAAAGCCAGCCUGGGAUCCGCAGCAACAGCCCAGGAAGCCAGCCCACUAGAAGUCAGACCUGCAGGAAGCCAGCCCGCUAUCUCCAGUCAAUCCACGGAGCCUAACACCGCCCUGUAACAACCAGCCCAAAACAGCCAGAACUUGACUAAUAACAGCUUCCCUAAUUUUUGUCCUAGCUUCCAACUUAGAACCAACCAGAAAAUCUGCUGCCCUAACUGACCACACAGGAGGCCCCGUUUCUGGUCAGCCACCCCAGCUUCCCCAAGCCAACAGCCUCCACUCGGAGUGCACCUGGAGCCUCCUCUUUUUCCACUGUGAACUUUUCCCAUCCUCUGCCUGCCUGGAAAUUUCUACCAAAAUGCAACUGGCGAUGGCUGACUCCCUUGCCGGGGCCUUUGCGUCUCUCAUUUGAGUGGUCUUUGUUUAUCCCCAUGCUGCUUCCCAUGCUACUACGGAUGGGCAUUUCCUGCCCAUCCACGAAGAUUUCACGUGCAUGCCUGGGGUGGCAGCAUGCCCAGGUGCAUUUCUCCUGCCUCCUCCUUCUCUCUUUAUCCCGCAGUCUUCCCCCUCACCCAGCUAGCCACAGGUGUCCACAUGGAGCACAGUCUGAGGAGAGAGCAGGGUCAAACACAGCCCGGUUCUAGGCAGAGCUGGGUGGUGUUUGACAGGUGCCAGGUGCUCCCCCAGAUGGAUCUUUACAUCAUAAAAAUGAUUUUGUGCUUGAGGAUGUUGCUUCAGAUCCACCAAGCAUAAAGUCACCACCUGAAAUUAGAAAGAAAACAUCCAAUAAAGAGACCUUCUUCAGUCCAGCAUCCCUCUCCCUAUGUGCCUUCUGAAGCUCCUGCAGCAGGCCUGCAGAUGGGUUCAGAAAGUGUUUCCAAGAGGAGCACCACACAGCUCUAACACACACACACACACACACACACACACACACACACGGAGUCAACAUGAGGGUAAGAAUGAGGAGAGUGAUGGCAUGCGGUGUCUGAGAGAAUUUAGUCUCGAGGAUUAAGGAAAGGCUCCCCAGGUGAGUGGGAAAGGUGAGCAGUGUUCAGUCUCUCAGAGGCGUGGAUGAAAGUGUCGUCCAGGCAGAAGACAAAUGCACAAGGCUUGAAGCCGGAGCAAACAGAUUCCAUAUGCAGGAGCGCAAAUGGCAGGUGCUUCUAUGGCAAAUCCAAGAGUGAGGCAGGAAGGGUCAGGGCCCGGCAUGCCAGGCCAGUGACUUCGUGGAACUAGCAAACCAAGCUAGGCAAAGUGUGGCAUGUUACUUCCUUAUAAUAUUUUUAAUUAGAAUAGUAAUAUUUUCUCUUUAAUGCAAAAAAUCAAUAAAUUCUUAAAUAAUACCUAGCCCAAGGCCCACUAUCCAGAGACACUCAUGCUGCUAGAAUUUUUAAUGUAUCCUUCAAGAAAUAUUUUCUAUAUAAACAGAAGGCUGAGAUGUAUGUGCCAUUUUUUGUGGUCUCUUCCACCAAAACUUCCUCAAAUGUGUUAAGAGCACAACUCUUGAAAACAUGUUCACACAGAAACAUGCACACAAACGUUCUUAGCAGCAUCAUUCAUUAUAGCCAAGAAGAGGAAACAACCCAAAUAUUCACCGACUGAUGAGUGAAUAAACAACACGUGCUCCAUCCACACAAUGCGACAUUCACACGUGAGAAAUGCCACACCGUGGUGAACGCCAGAAACAGCACGUUCAGUGAAAGAAGCCGGUCAUAAAUGACUCCAUUCAUGGAAAUGUCCAGAAUAGGCAAAUUCGUAGAAAUAGAAAGUAGAUGAGCAGUUGCUUAGGUCUGGAAGGGAUGGGGAGCAUCCUUUCAGGAUGCUGAAAAUGUUCUGCAAUUGACUGGAUAAUGGCUUCACGGCUCUGUGAAUAUACUAACAACCGCUGAAUUGUACACUUCAGUGGUGAAUUGUUUGAAAUGCAAAUAAUGUCUCACUAAAGCUCUUAUUAAGAAAUAAAUGAGUUGAUGGCAGAUAGCUACCAGGAUUAUGAGGGUGACAUCGCAGGGAAGGGGCUGUGUGUGCGGAGGGGCCAGCACUGCACAGGACGUCAGCCAUUGAAGGGUACUCUGAUGUAAAAAUAGGAAUUGUGACCUGAGUAAUUAAUGAGACGCUGGCUGUCCUGAAUUUGCAGCUAGUAAAAAAGUUGUGUAGCAGGAAGAAGCUUGGUUUUUCCAUAACGGGAUUUUGGCUGCUGCAUAAGAGAAUUGGCUGGAAGAAGCACCAUUCGCAAGCGCUUACUGUCAAGAAGUAAGAAGCACAAAACACUUACCAUCAAGUAAGAGGGACAGGACUCCCAGUAAGGGGGUAGCAGAGAGAUGGUGGCAAGUGGACAGAUGCAUGAUACACUUGGGAGGCGACACUGACAGAACAUGUCUCUGCGAAUGUGCAAGAAGAAUUAGGUAAAAGCAUAGGUCAUAUCAGGGUAUGUCAAAAACAGUGACAGGAGCAAAUAGAUAAUCUAAAUUGAGAAAUGCUGAUUUAAGAAUUCUCAGACAUGGAUUAUUGAUGGAAAAGCCAAACUCUGUAAAAUAUUUGAAAAAGGUUUACUAUGAGUGAAUGAGUGACAGUGGCCUGGGGAAACAGUCUUGAAGGGCCUGAGGAAGCACUCCCGAGGCACUCGGGUUAGUUUGGUUGUACAUAUUUUGAGGAGGAAAGAGUUCUAGGCAAAGACAUAAGUCAACACAUGGAAGAUGUACAUUGGUGGGACAUCUUGAAGCAGGGGUUUAAAGGUCAUAGAUGGAUUCAGAGAUUCUCUGAUUUGCAGUUGGUUAAAGGAGUGAGCUCUGUCUAAAAUUUGAUGUCAGGAGAAAGGCAUGUUUUAAGUUAAGGAUGCUAUGUAGCAAGGUUGAUGGCCUGCAGGCCUGACUAAACCCUCACCUGGCAUGGCCUUAGGUCUUGUUUAUAAUUUGGUCUUUUAUUGACACAGAAUCUGUCUUGUCAGUCUUAGGAUCUCUAAUGUUAAUGCUGGACAGUUGCACCUAAACUCCAAAAGGGAAGGAGUGUAACAAGGCUUGGGAUUCCCUUGGCCAAGAGGAGGUCUGUUCAGUCAGUGGGGAUGGCUUAGGAUUUUAUUUUUAGUUUAUAGGAUGGAUCAGAUUGUUUUUCUUUUGUCAUUACAAAUAAGGCUGAAGCCAAGCAUAGUGGUUUACGCCUGUAAUCUCAACACUUUUGAGGGUUGAGGUGGGAGGAUCUUGUGAGCCCAGGAAUUCAAGACCAGCCUGGGCAAUACAGGGGGACCUCGUCGCUACAAAGAAUAAAAAAAUAAAAAUUAGCUAGGCAUAGGAGCCUACUCAUGUGGUCCCAGCUGCUCAGAAGGCUGAGGCAGGAGAAUCACUGGAGCCCAAGAUUCCAAGGCUGCAGCGAGCCAUUGUUGUGCCACUGCACUCCAGCCUAGGCAACAGAGUGAGACUGUGUCUCAAAAAAUAAAUAAAUAAAUAAACAAAUAAAUACGGCUGAAAUGAACAGCCUCAUCCAUAUCUUUUCAUGAACAAUCACCAACUUUUCCCUCCGAACAGCUUUCUAAAGCUUUCGAAUAGCUUAUUUUUAAGUCAUGCAAUGACUUAACAAAUUGCAUGUUAGAAAGCCUGUUACAAAUUUAGACUCCUGUGCUAUUUUGAGAUAGAUAUUUGGUCUUCAUUCCCAUCCCCAUUUCCUGGCAAAAAGCUCCUAAAACCCUUGGAAUCUCCAAAGUACUAAGAGUGUCAUUUGUGUGCUAAUGAAAUGACUGGUGGCUGGGGACCCUGGAGAGCUUCAGGAUGGGGGCUGGCCACCAGAAAGAUAGAGGUGGGAUUAGGGAGUUGGGAUUUUUAGUCCCACCUGCCAACCUCUGGGGAGACGAGAGGGACUGAAGGUUGAGCUGAUCACCAAUUGCCAGUGAUGUGGUUGAUCACGCCUCUGUAAUGCUGCUUCAGUGAAAACCCACAAGGACAGGGUUUGGAGAGCUCCCAGAUAGCUGAAUAUGUGGAGUCUGGAGGGUGGUGUGUCCGGAGCUGGUGUGGGAGCUCUGAGCCCCUUCCCAGAUGCCUCACCCUGCGCACCUCUUCCAUCUGCCUCUUCAUUUUCAUCCUUUGAAAUAUCCCUUGUAAUAAAUGAAGAAGUGUAAGUAAAGUGUUUCCCUGAGCUCUGUGAGCCACUGUAGCAAAUUAAUCAAACCCGAGGAGGGGAUGCUGGAAAUCCUGAUUUGCAGCCAGUUGGGCAGAAGCACAGGUCACAGCCUACUACUUGUGACUGGCAUCUGAAGCAGGGACAGUCUGGUGGGACUGAGCCCUUAACCUGUGAGGUCUGACACUGUCCAGGUAGAGAGUUUCAGAAUGGAAUUGAAUUAGGAGACACCCAGCUGUUAUCUGCUGAAGGAAUGGUUGGUGCGGAGAAAUCUCUACACUUUUUAGUGACCAGUGAUCAGAGAAAUACAAUUAUCCUUUGGUAUCUUCAAAGGGAUUAGUCCCAAAACUCCUCCUCUGGAAGGGUUUUGGUGAUUUGGACACCAAAAUUACAGGAUGCUCAAGUCCCUUAUAUAUGAAAGUAUAGUAUUUGCAUGUAACCUACACACAUCCUCCACAUGCUUUAAAUCAGGGGUGUCCAAUCUUUUGGUUUUCCUGGGCCACAAUGGAAGAAGAAUUGUCUUGGGCCAUACAUAAAAUACACUAACACUAACGAUAGCUGAUGAGCUUUAAAAAAUCGCAAAAAAAAAAAUCAUAAUGUUUUAAGAAAGUUUACAAAUUUGUGUUGGAGGGUAGGCCGCAGGUUGGACAAGAUUGCUUUAAAUCACCUCUAGAUUACUUAUAUCUAAUACAAUGUAAAUUCUAUGUAAAUAGUUGUUAUAUUGUAUUGUUCAGAGAAUAAUGGCAAGAAAAAAUCUGUACGUUUAGUACAGACACAAUCAUUCUUUUUUUUCAAAUGUUUUUGAAUCGAGGUUGGCUGAAGCCAUGGAUGCAGAACCCGUGGAUAUGAAGGAGUGACUGUAUUCUGUGUGGAAUUUAUGCUGAAUGGAGUGGCAGAACAUACAUAUUCAAUAAACUAUAGGAGGAGCAAUGAAUAUUUAUGAAAGGAGAAACGUGAA